GAUCUGAAGUCUUAGUGGGGGUACCUGAGGCCUGUCUCCCCACUGUAAGGCCAGAUCAAUAGCAUUGUGGGCCUUGCCUUCAUUUCUGCUGUUGCAGAUAAUGGCAUUAAUCUAUUCAUGAGGGUAGA